rnacentral:tRNA from 1 species
GCGCACGUGGCGAAAUUGGUAGACGCGCAGCCUUGAGGGGGCUGUAAACAAUAGUUUGUGUAGGUUCAAGUCCUAUCGUGCGCA